AGAGUUUGAUCAUGGCUCAGGACGAACGCUGGCGGCGUGCCUAACACAUGCAAGUCGAACGGGACUGGGGGCAACUCCAGUUCAGUGGCGAACGGGUGCGUAACACGUGAGAAAUUUGUCUUUCGGUGGGGGAUAGCCGGCCCAACGGCCGGGUAAUACCGCGUACGCUCUUCGAGGGGCAUCCCUUGGAGAGGAAAGCAGCAAUGCGCCGAAAGAGAAUCUCGCGGCCUAUCAGCUAGUUGGUGGGGUCAUGGCUCACCAAGGCGACGACGGGUAGCUGGUCUGAGAGGAUGGCCAGCCACAUUGGGACUGAAACACGGCCCAGACUCCUACGGGAGGCAGCAGUGGGGAAUCUUGCGCAAUGGGCGAAAGCCUGACGCAGCGACGCCGCGUGUGGGAUGACGGCCUUCGGGUUGUAAACCACUGUCGGGAGGGACGAAGCUCUGACGGUACCUCCAAAGGAAGCACCGGCUAACUCUGUGCCAGCAGCCGCGGGUAAUACAGAGGGUGCGAGCGUUGUCCCGGAAUCACUGGGCGUAAAGGGCGCGUAGGCGGCCUGAUAAGUAGGGGGUGAAAUCCUGUGGCUUAACUGCAGGGCUGCCUCCUAGACUGUUAGGCUCGAGCACGGUAGAGGCAGAUGGAAUUCCCGGUGUAGCGGUGGAAUGCGUAGAGAUCGGGAAGAACAUCGGUGGCGAAGGCGGUCUGCUGGGCCGUUGCUGACGCUGAGGCGCGACAGCGUGGGGAGCAAACAGGAUUAGAUACCCUAGUAGUCC
rnacentral:rRNA from 1 species